GACGAACGCUGGCGGCGUGCUUAACACAUGCAAGUCGAGCGGUAAGGCCCUUUCGGGGGUACACGAGCGGCGAACGGGUGAGUAACACGUGGGUGACCUGCCCUCAGCUCUGGGAUAAGCCUGGGAAACCGGGUCUAAUACUGGAUAUGACUCCAUGACGCAUGUUGUGGGGUGGAAAGCCUUGUGCGGCUGAGGAUGGGCCCGCGGCCUAUCAGCUUGUUGGUGGGGUGANGGCCUACCAAGGCGACGACGGGUAGCCGGCCUGAGAGGGCGACCGGCCACACUGGGACUGAGACACGGCCCAGACUCCUACGGGAGGCAGCAGUGGGGAAUAUUGGACAAUGGGGGCAACCCUGAUCCAGCGACGCCGCGUGUGUGAAGAA
rnacentral:rRNA from 1 species